rnacentral:lncRNA from 1 species
GCCGGUCAUGAAGCUGGCAAGGACCUUCCACCGGGGUAGUAGUUCGCCGACUAGUUGUUGUAGAACUGCACGUACGUGGGCAUGUCGGUGUUGUCGCCGUAGCCGUAGAACUAGAAGUUGAUGUAGGCCCUGUUUGGUUUGCCUUGUUAAAUUUUACCAUCUGUCAUAUCGAAUAUUUAGACAUAUGCAUAAAGUAUUAAAUAUAUAUUAUUUACAAAACUAAAAACACAGUUAGAGAGUAAUUUACGAGACGAAUCUUUUAAACCUAAUUAGUCUAUGAUUGGACACUAAUUAUCAAAUAAAACGAAAAUACAAGUAAACUUUAACAACUUAAACCAAACACUAGUGCAAUCGAUCACGCCUGAGUACUUGCGCCACAGCGGCCGUAGUACUUUUGGAUCACCGGGUCCUCGAACGGCGCUUGGUCCUUAUGCAGGUCGGCAACAUAAUGCCUGUUUUGAAAUAGGUAUCUUUUUCCAUGACAGUUGUAGGAAAGAUAUGCGCCAGUCGGCAAUGAAAACUGUUCUACAAUGGAUAUUAUCCAAUAUAUGGAUUUUGCAGACAGUCCACAUUAUCUCGUGAACGAUAAAAUGGACCUAUUGCAUCCAAAAUAUCAUUUUUCCAUGCAUAUAUGCCAUAAAGUCGUUGGGACAAAAUGGUCCUAUUGCUUCAUGAUGUUUAAUGGUGAUUUUGGCUAAGAAAAAGGGUUCCAUGAACAUGACGUGACCUCUUAAUUCUCCGCAUGCCUCCGUGCAGAUAACCAUUCCAGCAAUCGAACGAGGCGUUGUAUAUGGACCAGCAAUUAGUGGAACGAAACAGGAUACAUAAGUCUUUUCGGCAGAGAUUACUUUCACUGUACCGGGCUUCCCCGAAGAUGAUGAUGUUUGAAGCUAAAAUGUUUUCCAUCAUUUGAAAAUAAGUGUGGCUGUUGCCAUAUUUACCAAUCAAAUAUAGCACAAUACGAGAAACACAAGAUGCAUUUUAACAGACAGGCAACAAGGAUUUCUAGACACGGGUGAUCUCGCCCAACUCUAUAUAUGGUAUGAUCUUGAUAUAAUAUAGGAGAUGGUUCAUGUCCCCUUUUGAAAAUCUAAGAAAAAAAUAGAAAACUAGGUUUGUCAAGGAUAUUCCUAAGCUGAAAGAGGGAGGGGGGCCCACGCACAGCUGGUGAAGGAGAGAGGGCUCGUGCGCUUGCCAUGGAAUCCUUGUCUUCCAUGCUUAGAACAUUCUCUCUAUGGUGGUAGGUCAUAAGAGCAACUCCAACCCACCUCCUAAACAAGUUCCUAUUCUAAAUCUAAGGAUUUGAUCCAAAAAAAUCAACUCCAACCCACCUUUUACUUGGGCUCCCAUUUUCCAUGCCCUCCCAAAUUAUAGUUUCAGCCCCUCACAUCUAGAACCCCCUAUCCAGUGGGUCUCACCCACAUUCAUCUCCCCACCCAUAAAUCAAGACAAGAAUUAUAAAUGGUGGAGUUGAUGUAGGAUUUGUCAAUGACAGGUGGAUCCCAUGUGAGAUAAGGACUUGGUCUGUUUUUUUCAUUGGAGUUGGGUCUUAAUUUGAGCCCCUACUUUUUUUAUCAUAGCAUGUAAAUAAAAGUUUAAGGGCUUAAAUUAGGGACUUGGGCUGGAGUUGCUCUAAGCAUCAUUGUCCUCCUCUACCUUGAGUUGCCACGGGUAGGGGAUUAGGACUAAGUCCGUCGGAUGUAUAAUACUCCCUUCAUCCAUGAAAGAAUUAAUUUCUAGAGUUAUUCUAAGUCAAACUUUUUAAACUUUCACCAAAUUUCUAGAAAAAAAUGCUAAGAUUUAUGGUACCAAAUUAGUAUCAUUAGAAUUAUCAUAGAAUAUAUUUUCAUAUGAUGUGCAUCUUAUGUCAUAGAUGUUGUUACUCUUUUCUAUAAAAUUAGUCAAACUUUAAAAAGUUUGACUGGCACGGAUUCUAGGAAUUGAUUCUUUCGUGGACGGAUGGAGUAGCUGCAUUUUUAUGUAGUAUGGACUAUAUAUCACCCCAAAGUGGAUUUGUAGGCUAGUGUUAGCUUAGGGGCAGUUCAGGGUUUGUCCAAACACCUAUAAGUGAGGUAUAUGGCUGGUGUUAGAGCUAUUCUUGAAACCCUAAUCUCAUUUUCUGUAGGUUUAGCGAAGUUCUCAUCAAAAGAGAGAGAGAGAGAGAGAGAGACUAGGGUCAUAGAGAGAGUUAAUUAACUCUUGCUCCAGUUUUUCAAUUUGUUAGUGGGGUAAUGAUGGAAGGAAGAAGCUAGAUCUAUCUUGUAUAGAUGAACUAUUAUUUUUCAGACUAUUUUCAUGGAAAUUGUCCUUUGUUUUUUGACAGCGAUUUUGGUUGGGAUUAUUGAGGAAAACAAGUGCUAGAACAUGUGAGGAGAUGCUUAUAUCAUCAAAUCUGGGUUUCACCCAAAGUAGUUCUUCCCUUUCAUUAGUUUUUUCUUUGGUUUCUGAAAUUCAUGCUAAAAACUCAAUCUUUCGGGGUGCCUAUGGUAGCUGUGGAUAGCAUAUGAUGUUAUGAGGUCAUGGUUAAAAUCUCAGCUUAAUCAUAUCCGAUUUGGUUAAGUUAUGAAUUUUCUUAGGCCUCGUUUAGUUCCUCCGCAAAACCUAAAAUUUUUCAAGAUUUCCUGUCACAUCGAAUCUUUGGACACAUGCAUGAAGCAUUAAAUAUAGACGAAAAUAAAAACUAGUUACACAGUUUAUCUGUAUUUUGCGAGACAGAUCUUUUGAGCCUAGUUAGUCUAUGAUUGAACAAUAUUUGUCACAUACAAACGAAAGUGGUACAGUGCUUAUUUUAAAAAAAAAUGGAACUAAACAUGCCUCAGAGAGCCUGAUCUCUCGUGGACCCACUCGGAGUUUCUUCCGGUGGGUGUGGACUAGUCUUCUGUCUGUAUUGUACCUUUCCGGUGCCUGGUCCACUUCGAUUUUUUUAAUUUUUUUUUGUGCUAAUUUUGCUCUCUUUCUUCAUGUCUCUGCUCGUGGUUGCUGCUGCUAGAGGACAACAGAGUGCGGUAGCUUCCUUUGCUGUCCAAUCACGUCGACGCUCACCCAGCUGCAGUAGAUAGACAUAACAGCAACCGCUCACAAGGGGAAAUGUGGAUUGGAUUAUCUUGCUUGUGCAAGAUCACAAGUCCAGCUGCAUCAGUAGCAAUUCUGCUGAAGAUAUACGUGUUUUCCCGAAGCAAAGCAAUCCUUUCUGCUGCAAAAGAUGCAGCAGCGUGCACGGUGCACAUGUGUAGUCAAACCAGGCGGAUAUAUAUAUAUAUAUAUAUCUCCAGUACUGUUGGUGCAUGCAUAUCGUCUCCAGUUGUCACAUGCAUAUGGGCUCGUUACUUGUCAACGUCGUCAUAGUUAAUUACGAUUAUUAUUCCGCGCCAACGUCGAAGAUGAUAUUAGCUAGGAACAGAGCCACACGCGUCCUUGCGUGCAUGGAACAAUGGAUGAUGCAUCCUUCCACGAAGCCGACGAAUUUUAACCGAAGAAGAUUUGUAGCCAACUGAAACCGCAAGCCACGCACGUACGUAGCCGUCGGCAGCCACCGAUGUUGAAUUGCCCGCUUCCCGGCGUAUAUAUCGCUUCGUGGAUGAGGACUCCGCUGGAUUUAGGGAUGUAUAUAGGCCGUUGAACAGCGGAAGUCAUCACAGCUUAUGCAGCUGUGUGAUGUACUUAUCAUAGGUACGUACAACUUAUGCUUAUGCUUAUGCGACAGUGAAAAUUAUGAUCACUGCCAGUUAAAAAACUUCUAGUGAUGUGAACCCAUCACUGUCGAUUUGAUUGUGCCAGUUCAAAAUCUGUUAGUGAAAGGAGAGUUGAAUUGGCAUUAUCCUGUUCGCUUGAGCUUAUCUGUCAAAUCUAACAGCAAUUUAAUAAUGUUUUUUUUUCUUAUAAUAAUUUAGCAAACAACCUAUCAGCCAAGUAAAUAGGCUAGCUGAUUGGGGUAGUGAGUACUAAAGACAGUUAGGCCUAGGGACCUUGUUGUUUGUCAUUAAUUAACAAAACCAUACGAAACCUAUUCUAUGGUCAUUGAUUCUUAUCACGUCAAUCGGGGCUCUCAAAACAAUCAGCUAGAUACAUGAGUAUAUACAUGAUCUCUGCUUGCUAACAGCAGUCCACGCAAAUGUACAUCAAUGGGAGUCAUAAGUCAUCAUUUAUCCUACUGUGCAUAUUUCUCGGCGUCUGUGGAAAUUCUGUGACGUCUAGCAGCCGAAUUUGACCUACUCCUUUCCAUAUAUCGCAUGGAAAAUAUUUAUUGUUCUUCCAGAUUCCAGAACACGACGACAUCAGACAUGUCUGAGUGCAGUCAAGGAGUGGACAACGCCUAUAAAUGCGUCCCCCUUGCCUCCUCCCUUGAAGCGUGCACAGCAGCUACUACCUGUUGGAAAGAGAGGCCGAUCGAUCCAUCCUGUCAGCAGCCAUGACGAACGGCUACCUGUUCCGUGAGUACAUCGGCGCGCAGUCCACCGGCGUGCAGUUCUCCGACGUGCCCAUCAACGCCUUGCUCAGCUUCCACUUCAUCCUCUCCUUCGCCAUCGACUACACGCCGGUGGGGCAGCAGCCGAAGCCGGUGCCGACCAACGGCGUGUUCAGCCCGUUCUGGGACACUGGCAACCUGACCCCGGCCGCCGUGGCCGCCAUCAAGGCCGCGCACCCCAACGUCGCCGUCAUGGCGGGGCUCGGCGGCGACAGCGUGCAGGACAUCGUCAAGGCCGUCUUCACCCCGACCUCCGUCGACUCGUGGGUGGGCAACGCCGUGGCGUCGCUCACGGGCAUCAUCAACACGUACGGGCUCGACGGCGUGGACGUGGACUACGAGCACUUCGCCGACGGCGCCGACGUCGACACGUUCGUCGAGUGCAUCGGCCGACUCCUGACGCAGCUCAAGCAGAAGAUGCCCAACAUCGCCACCUCCAUCGCGCCGUUCGAGGACCCCGUGGUUCAGAAGUACUACCAGCCGCUCUGGAGCAAGUACUCCGGCGUCAUCGACUACGUCAACUUCCAGUUCUACGGCUACGGCGCCAACACCGACGUGCAGACGUACGUCAUGUUCUACAACAACCAGUCGGCGAACUACCCCGGCGGCAAGGUCCUCGCCAGCUUCAAGACCGGCAACGUCACCGGACUGCUCUCGCCGGAGCAGGGCAUCAGUGCGGCCAAGGAGCUGCAGCGGCAGAACAAGCUGCCCGGGCUGUUCAUCUGGUCAGCGGACAGCUCCAAGCAGAGCAGCUACGGCUUCAAGUACGAGACGGAGGCGCAGCAGAUCAUUGCCAACCACUGAUCUGCCGGAUCAGGACUUGGCUUAACAAGGGGUCACACUUUUUAUAUUACAAUAAAUAAAUAAUAAACCUCUCAGGUCAACAACAAUUACUUGCUGGUUAAAUUAAAGAGGUUGGUGUUGAUUCAAUGAUCAGAAUAAUGGUGACUGAAAAAAAUGCAAGUUUAAGGAACUUAAUAAGCUUGUUGUUUGCGUGCAGUAUUAUUAAGAGUGAAAACCAGUAUAUCCACCUCCUGUGUUUGGGUUCUGCGAAGCACUGGAGCAUUACUGGAAAUUCGUAGAUCUCAUCGAGAUUUUUUAUAUAAAUAUUUAUCCGACACUAUAAAAAAUGAUUUUUCAAAUACAACAAGCUUUGGUACGUGAUUAAUAUGAUCCUCAAACUUUAGAUUACUCUUUGAGCAUCUUAAUGAUUUCAAAUGAUAAAACUCAAAACUAAAAAUUUGUAGAUCUCAUCGGAACUAAUAAUUUUUAUAUAUAAAGUAUCUUUAUAUGACACCAUACAAAAAUGAUAUAAUUUUUCUAAGAUGACAAACCCUGGUACAUGGUUAAUAUGUUGCUCAAACUUUUAUAUUGUUUUUGGAGCAUCUUAACAAUCUCAAGUGAUAAAAAGUCAAAUUUAAAAUUUUGUAGUGUUUAUGAGAGCUACAAUUCACACAAAAUAUUUUUAUCCAACACCAUACAAGAAAGAUAUGAUUUUUAGAAAUGACAAGCUAUGGUAUGCUGCUGAAAUUUUAUAUUAUUUUUUUAGCAUUUUAACGAUCUUAAAUGAAAACACAAAACUAAAAAGUUGUCUCAUCAAGAUGUAAAAAUUUUAUAUAGAAGUCAUCUUAAUCCAAAAUAUAUAGAUUUGAUUUUUGUAAGGUGGAGUACUGGAGUUUUGUUGUUGACAUGUUGGCCUCGUUUACCAGAUUCAUGCUACAUAAGAUAGGGGUGAGUAGACGCCGGUUUAGGUCUAUAUAAGACCCCUUAUAACUUUAUAUAGCUACUAAGGCCUUAUUUAGUUCGCAAAAAGAAAAGUUUUUAGGUAUUGUAGCACAUUUAUAACUAUAGUAAUAAGGGUGUGUUUGGUUUAUUUCUUACACAAGCCUAACUAGCAAAAUUAAGCCAGGCUAGUCUUAGCCUGCUCCAACUAAGCCAAUUCACACUUGUUUGGUUGUCUGCAUUGUAUUAGCCUGGCUAUGACACAUGUUUGUUUGGUUGGUUGGCUUACUUUGUAUAGAGUCACCUUUUCUUUAGGAUAGUGAGUUCACGCCCUCUGAGACACAUUGUGUCGAACAGCUGUUGUGCGCACUCCUCGCCACCAUCCUCCUCCUGUAGGUCCACAGCAGCACCGACAUGAGGAAGGAGGAAGCAAUGGACCACGACAUCUUCUUGUGCCGCGCCUGCUCCUGCGACUGCCGCUACCUGUUGCUGCUGGUCUCAUUCUUGGAGCCAUGGAAGCCGAUGGAAGGGGCGACCGCUCUGCUGCUGCUCCUCCUUGAGGUGCCGAAGAGGAGGGUGGAGGAGCAGAACUUGUUGGCUAAGGCCUUGUCUAGAUCCAAAAACUUUUUGGAUUUUGACACUGUAGCACUUUCAUUUUUAUUUAACAAACAUUGUCCAAUCAUGGAGUAACUAGGCUUAAAAGAUUCAUCUCGUGAUUUACAUGUAAACUGUGCAAUUAGUUAUCUUUUUAUCUAUAUUUAAUGUUACGUGCAUAUGCCGCAAGAUUCGAUGUGAUGGGGAAUCUUGUAAAGUUUUGGUUUUUUGGGUGCAUCUAAACAAGGCCUAAGUGGAAGGAAGAGGGAGCGAGGCACAGACGAAUCACACAGGACGGUGGCAUAGGGGAAGCAAGCCUCGAUUCUGCGUCCGCAUCACGGCGGGCCUCCACACCCAGGUCUCAUCGUCCUCUGACUCUGGGGGUAGGUACGCGAGCACCACCUCUGCGAGGAGCGACGGUGCUAGUAGGCCGGCAGUCGGCGGCGGCCUUGUGCGCAUGCAGCUGGUCGCGCCGGCAUCACGAGGCGCGUGGAGGGAUUGCGGAGAAGCACGACACCUUCAACCAUGGCGGCGCGCAUGAAGGGUAGAGGAGGAGGGGCGGACGGUGCAGCCCAUGUAAAGGACGAGUAGUACAGAGCGAAACUAGGUGGUGACGAGAAGGAGCACCAGAGCUGGCUUAGCCUGGCUCUAGAAGAAACAUCAACCCUGUGUUUCUUUCUGGACCUGACUCCAGGCGUGCGGAUGCCCAGAUGGAGCCUGGCUUCAGGGGCUGUCCAGGGAACCAAACAACAUAAAUUUGGCCCAACCAAACACACCCUAGUCCCUAAGUGUCUAAUCAUGGUAUUAGGCUCAAAGAUUCGUCUCAUAAAAUACAUACAAACUGUGUAAUUAGUUAUUUCUUAUCUAUAUUUAAUGUUCUAUGUAUAUGUUCAAACAUUCAAUGUGACGAGGUAAAAAAAUUUUAGAUAAAAACUAAAUGGGUCUAAAAAUAUAUUUUGAAACUUUAGGAUGACAACUCUAGAAUAACUUUUGAGUCACCUGUGGAGCACCUCUCGUCGCGGUUAGCCAAAUGGACGUACUGUAGGUGGGCUAGGAGAUGUAUGUGGGCUGCUUUUGGCUGCUGUGACUGUUGGUCAGUUUUGGCCUCGGUUAAUUUCAAAAUUUUUGUAAAAUUUUUCAAGAUUUCCUAUCACAUCGAAUCUUAUGGGAUACACAUGGAACAUUAAAUAUAGAUAAAAAUAACUAAUUACACAGUUUGCCUGUAAUUUGCGAGACGAAUUUUUUGAGCCUACUUAGUCCAUAAUUGGACAAUAUUUGUUAAAUACAAAUAAAAAUGCUACAGUGUCCGUUUUGCAAAAAAAAAAGCAACUAAACAAGGCGUUUGCUUACUUUCAAGUUUCAAAUUUCUUCCUAGCGAGUGGUGGCCCAUAUCACAUUUCUAUUGAAAAUUAAUUAGGUACAUCAAGUUUCUUUUAGGUUUUUAGAAAAAUGAUUUUAUUCUAGUCUCUUCUUUUAUGUUUUUAGAAAAAUGAUUUUAUUCUAGUCUCUUCACCAUAAGUUAUACAUAUAACCAUCCAUUAUUAAAAACACACAUGGACGAAAAACGACUUAUGCUCAAAGACAACUACACAUUCCUGAUGGUGCAACUUUUGAUCGUGGGUUCUUCUUUGAAAGUUUUUGUAUCGCGGGUUUGUUGUGUUAUUCACGUCUAUAACUUCAUUAUGUGUGUAGUGUAAGGGGGGGUGUUUGGCACUGCUCCACGAACUCUGCUCCACAAACUCUACCAUAGAGCAGCUCCACAAAAAACUGGAGUUCUUGGAGUACCUCUUUAGGUGCUCUCACAACUCCACUAUUUUAUCUCAAACUGAGUGCGUGGAGCUAAAACCGUUUGACUAAAAAACAUGGAGCGGACUGAAAAACGUGGAGCAGAGCAGUCCCAAACACCCCUAGAUAUGAUAGAAAGCGUCUCCUAGUUUUUUCCGAUGUAAGUUAUUCCUUAUUAAAUCUCUUUGAACCUUAAAUAAUUAAUCUUAUAGUGUGAUGAAGAUGUUAGAAUUCUAGGUUUAGUUUAUAUCAAACCAUCUCAAAUUAUAUGAAAUUUAUGGAAACUAUUAUCAACAAUUUUUUAUAACUUAGAAUAAACAUAAUAUCCAAUUAUGGUUUAUGCAAAAUUAAAUUAUACUUAUUUCAUACGCUGUAUAUUAUUAUCUUUUCAUAUAAAUUUAUCAAACUUAAAUAAAUGCUUCAAUAAUUUAUAUUGUAGGACAAAGCUAAAAACUGUGUUUUUUUAGCCAAAAAACUGCGGAUUUUGGAUGGUAGGACGCCAGAGCACGAGAGAGAAACAACGCACGUGAAACGACAGCCCUGGCAUACGAUCUAAUCUAGCUACUCACUGACAUCCGGGCUCCACACCCGAGUCAACCUCAAUACCACCUCACCUUCCGUACACCGGGCCCAUACGCCGUAGAACGCAAUCCGCCCGCACCAAAAUAUCGGACGCCCCACCAACGGACAAACCCACCGCACCAUACACCGGGUCCACGCAGCCUUCAGACCGUCUGUCCACCUCCCGCUCCGAUCGGGGAGGAGGCGGAGCGUGGCCGCGGCGCCGACCGAGACCGAUCCCCGCGGUGAAGCAGAGACUCUGCGCGUAUAAAUACCCGACCUCGCCGGCGCCCGCGAGCUUCGAGAAAACCUCCCCUUCGCCGCGCCUUUACCCUACCCUAACAGCCUAGCUAGCUUGCGGCGCUCCACUACCACUCGCUGCUACUGCACCUACUUCCGCUCUGCUACUGUUGCUGCUGCUCCGGGUGGUGGUGGCACCGAAACCCUAGCCCCUGCCGUGAUGUCGCUGCAGGAGGCUGCGGACCCGCCGCCUUCGGCGACGGACGAGCGUCCGGGGGGUCUCCCGCGGAGCGGCUCCGCUAGCCGCCUCAACGCGCAGGCGCCGGAGUUCGUGCCGCGCGCUGCUGCCGCGGUGCCCCCGCCCCCUCCGCCGCAGACGGUGGUGCGUCUGUUCGCGCCGCCGCCUCCUCCCGCGGCGUUCUUCGUCGCGGCACCCCCGCCUCCGCCGCCCCCGUUCGAGUACUAUGCGGCUGUUGCCGCCGGUGGGGGUGCCAGGUUCGGUCCUCCCCCCGCCGAGCAGGAGCCCGAGGCUGAGCAGCCGCCGAGGGACGGGAGCUUCGACGACCCCGUGCCCAAGAUCAGGAAGCAGGUGGGUGGAUGUGGAUGCUCCUCUCCGUCGUAACUGGUGAUCCCUGAUACGAUAGGUGCAAUUGGAUCACUAGAUCAGGAAUAGAAUUUGCUCAAUUUGCGACAUUUUUAUAGUCUCACAAGCUGUAUGCGUCAUCCGAUGUGCUUCCCAGUAGUCUCACGAGGAAUGAAAUUUGCUUAAUGUGGAGUACAUCUUUUAGUCUCACAGAUAUGCUUGGACACAUGCCAUGAAAAAUCUGUUUGCUACUUUGGCCACUUUAGAUGUGUUUGCAUUGAACAGAAAGGCAAGCAUUGUUCAGAUUGAACUGCCUGCUUUUGAUGUGCCAAUGGUAGUGUAGGAGGCUAGGAGCUGCGUAGUGCACAUGCUAUUUAGUUGUGGUGAAAUGGAGCAAGGGGCAGAGCUACAUGAACUUACUGGGAUCAGCUGACCGGUAUAAAUCUGGCAAAUCCUAGUAUCCUAUACAAAAUCACUGUUUACUAAGUAUAUUUAAGUGAUGAUUAGUGGUACUGACUCCGGUGAUUCCAUUGCCUAGCUCGGCCCCUGAAUGGAGCUGCUAGCAAUUUGAACUUGUCAAAAUUUUGGUACUUUGCUAUUUGUGUACUUGUAGUAUCUGUCAGGAUGGAUAAUGUUUCAUGGUAAUUUCCUUGUCUCUUUAAGUAAUGAUGGUAGGGGAUUUUUGGUUCAUUUUUAGUUUAAGCUAAUGAAUUGAUUUCCUACCUUUCCUGUGUUUGGAUGUUGAUAAAUCAUGUUUAAGAAAUCAGGUAACAAGGAUGCAUCGUGGUUUCAGGAUCUAUUUCUUUUUACGCGAUCUACUUCAAUAACUCAUUUAAGCCCUAACCCAUUGCAUGCUGUUGGGAGGUAGAUGUGUGAUGGACUCCAAUUGGUGACUUCAUACUAUAAACAAUCUAGGAUCAUUUAAUAUGUAAAGUUCCACUGGUCAAGGAAGCAGGUGCCAAACUAUCACUUGACGGUCGUAUUGAAUGAAAUGACAAAUUUUGUGAUGAUUGGGCUGUCAUCUCUUAGUUGUAUCAAGAUUUAUAUUGUUUAGUUGAGACAGUGUUUUUAAGGCAUCGCGUAGGCCGUGAGGCACUCGCAGGGAACAAUAUGUCCCCGAUGUGCCUAACUAAAAGUGUGAGAGAUCCAACGGGACUGUAGUCAGAACAGAGGAAAACGAAAGGCCAUGCAGCCGCCUCCUCUCUCAUACGCACCAAAACCAGCGCCACCUGGGUCAUCUUCGGCAGCAGCGAUGGAUCUAGAAGGGGGCCACCAUAGAGAACUAUCUGAGGAAGCAGCUCAUUGAGGAGUAACGAGCAGCAGCAAAAGGGGGGGGGAGAGGAGCAGAGGGCACCGCACGAGUGAGAGUAGUGUGCGGGAGGGAUAUGCGGCGGCGCCGUACCUGUGUGAGAGAGAAGCAGAGAGCCGGGCGCAGGCAGUGUGUGUAUGCAUGGGAGCGUGCGCCCGUGUCUUCGUGACCUAUUUACAUGAGAAGGGGUAUUUAAGGGAGGGCCCUCGUGGGCUGCCUAGUGGGAUGGGCCAUCCACUUCUCUUUUAAUUUGCCCUUUUCUGGUUUUUAUUUUUUCCUUUUCCUUUCCUCCUCUGCUGCUAUUUUCCUAUUUCUUAGGAUUGUAAGGUGUCGCCUCACCUCGCCUUAUCAUUGUGAGGGAGUAGGUCACCACGGCUCGCCUUACCACCUUAAGAACCAUGGUUGAGAGGGACUGCACCACUACCGUUGUAUUAAUGCUGCAAGAAAUUUAACUUCUCAAAUUUAUACCUGAGGAUUGAUUUGAUUUUGAUGGGUUAAGCAGUUAGACUUGACGGACCCUUCUGUUGGGUAAUGGCAGUGAAGAAAAAGUGGGCUUUGACUCCCUAAUCUUCGGUAAUGGAUUGGUUGUUCAAUGAUCCAGUAUCAGGGGCUUUAUUGGUGGGAAGGAAGAACAUAGAUUGUAGCUGAAAGAAGUUAACAGGCAAGGAGCUGGAAGUUAUCAAAAAAAAGGGAAAAAAACCUUGGCCGGUGGGGGGAAAGACCACCCCCAUGGUUUUGGUCUAAGAAGAAAUUCUCAGUUCCCCGACCGAGAAAAUCCCCGAACCCCUGCCCCACCCUUACACAGCGCAUCGUUACCCUGGGGAUGGUUUGAACACACGACGUAUGCUUUGAGUGGUGGCAGGCGAGGGGAUUUUUUUAACCCAGCCUGAAAUUUGCUCCCACGGGGAGUCGAACUCAGGACCUGGGAGGUGCUGCAAGGAUUUGCUAGCCAUCUGGACUAGAGCCCUUUGGCAGGAGAUGGAAGCUAUCACUGGUGGUGAUGGUGGUGGCAAUGGCAUGCAUAGGGAAGCUAGGGGUGGAAUGGUGGUGUCACUUGGAAUAGAUAAGUAGAGGAGGUUGAAUCUCUUUUCUUGUUUGAUCCAAAAUGGGUACAUGGAGUUUCCAAAAAAAAGGUGGGGGUAGUACAUGGCUUCUCAAUAUAGAAACCUAACUUGACUCCCAAAGAAUUAAUAAAUUGAAUCCUUAUAGAUUGGGUCCACCCUUUCCUAAUAGUCUCUACUUUCCUAGCUUUAAUAGCGAACAGUCUCAACUUUCCUUAAAAAAAGUAAAAAAACCAACUAUAUCAAAAGGUAUCUUGCCGAUGGGGUCAAGUUGAUGAAAUAAGGGAAAGGGUGCGUGCACCACUUCCCGCAGCAGUGCCUUUUUUGGUUUGUUGGGCUAAGCCAACCCAUGGUCUGGUGGCCCAUGACAUCCAGAGGGUAGGCAUUUUUAUUCAUUUGAAUGCAUGUUGAAGGCGAAAGAACUUGACGUCCAUGUUUAGAGUAUGAUCUGUAGUUCUAGUAUCUGCUCCCAUCGAAAUGUGCGUAUAUAGUGUUAAUGUGCUAUAAUUGAAUUGAAAUUUUCAAAUUGUGAACUUAUAUAGGACUAUAGGAGGGUGGAUUGUUUGUGAUGUUGAACUACUCUAGGCUUAUUUAAUACAUUAUUAUGGGAAAUUUUUGGUGGCAAUGAUUUGCUCUAUUUGGUUGAGCAACCCCUAUUCAAUAUUUUAAUUUGUAUUCAAGUUUGCUAACUUCGAAUUCCAUUUCUUUUAGUUAUUAGUUUGUUUGUUUCAUUAAAUUAUAAUUUUUCAGGCCCUAGAGCUCUGAUUAUUUAAUUACUUUGUUUGAACCAAAUCAUAAUGUCAUAUUUGGUUCCAUGAUUUUGUGUUAUAUUGUACUUCAUGGUUUUGUGUAUAUUAUACUUCACAGUUUUGUGUUAUUUCAUCCUUUUUGUUAGCAUUUCUAGUAAGAAAUUGUUCAUGGGAUGUACCAAUUGUACUGCAAAAUCAUUAUAGCAGUCGUCGGCCGUUUAAAGUUGGAGAAAAGUUGUUGACAUGCUUACUUUAGUGCAAAAUUGUUUUUACGAAAUGCAGUAAAAUUGUACUGGGAGUUUUUUUGGCCUUAAUCACGUAUUCAUGUUGAUAAGAUGGUUCCUUAGUGAACAUUGGGUAACUAAAAUUAAAAUGAAGAUGAAGAUCUAUUCUUCUGUUCGUUAUCAAAUAUCAACUGCCAUUGGUGCUCUGUAGUUCUAAUCUGAUGGUGCUUCAUUUUAUGUUUUGGUUCAGCCAGUGUUGAAUUUUAAUUUGCUAUAUUAAAUUAAAUUUCGUAGUCUUGUGAAUGGUAGUGGCCUAGAAAAUCCAGACAAUGACAAAUUGUUGCAUCUUAUUUUGUGUUGUAAAAUUACAUCUUAUUUUUCCUGUUUUUUCUGAUUUCUUAAAAUCUGACCAUGUAGGUGGAGUAUUAUUUCAGUGAUAUAAACCUGGCCACCACUGAACAUUUGAUGAGGUUUAUUUCAAAGGAUCCUGAAGGAUAUGGUGAGUCGCGUGCUUGCUUCUGAAGCUAGUUUAUUUUGAUGUGCACAUAUGAAGUUAUUACAUUGAUACCAGUUGUUGAAUUUAUGGUUUUUCUUUUUGAAAAAAAUAUCAUUGUUUAAAACUUAUAGCUUCUUUCCAUCAUUAGAAACCAAGUCAUUUUUAAAGAAUUUCUAUUUUAAGGUGAUGGUCAGAAUCAUAUUAGGCUUUGAAAGGUGAUAUUGACAUUGUCAUGGAGGUUUAUUUGCAUAUAUGAAGGGUAUUGUUCAAUUACUUACAUUGAUUAUAUCCUGUUUAAUUUGUGACAUUAUCCUACUGGACUAAUUUUCUGAUAGAUGCACUUUUGGUUGGAUGCAUCUUAUCAGGAUAAGAUCCAUUCAGUGUACUCAAGAUUUGCUUCAUGGAGCAAAUGGUUUUUGGUUGUUUUUUCUUACCGUGAACUUGGAAUCAAUUAAUUUUUACUAGUACUUCCCUUUUUUGAAGUGCAAUCUAUUAUGCAUUCUCUUUUAUCGAAAUUAAUAAAAGAAAAAUGGUUACAAUUUUUAUUAGAAUGGUGCCCUCAGUCUCCUUAUCAGUAUGCUAUUUUUUAUUCAACCGCUUCUUUUGUGGAAGCUGUUUGUGCUUAAUGUGAAGAAAUCUAACUUUUAUUAUUGAAGUGGAUAAAUGCUUUUUUAGUGGGAAAACUAAUGUGCUUUCUCACUCAAUGUAGUGCCAAUGUCAGUUGUUGCUGGCUUUAAGAAAAUUAAGGCUUUAGUGCAAAGUAACUCCAUGCUUGCUUCUGCUCUUCGGACUUCUUCAAAGCUUGUAAGUUCCGUGAUAAUCCAAUUGGGUAGUUACACUUGACCCUGACAUACACUAUUGUGUUCUGAAGUUUCUUACUUACAUUCAAUACUUCAUAGAUCAUAGGCAUAAGAUUAGAGGCAUCAUACCCUCACUGUUGGUUAUGUCCUCUGGAAAUCCAUGUUGCUUAUCUCUGCAACAGUAUUUUUUAAUUAUUUUGGGCAUAUAUACAGGUGGUCAGUGAUGAUGGAGCAAGAGUAAAACGUGAGCAACCAUUUACAGAAUCAGAUUUAGAAGAACUCCAGGUGACUAGCAACCCUUUGUACAUUGAAUGGCACUGCCCCCAUUAAUAUUGAAUUAUUCUCUAGCUAUAAAAAAACCUUCGCUAGACUGUCAGAUAAGGAAUACCUGUUCUGUUUUGCAGGCCCGAAUUGUUGUUGCAGAAAAUCUCCCAGAUGAUCAUUGUUACCAGAAUCUAAUGAGGCUCUUUUCAGCUGUUGGCAGGUAAACGUUAAUGUAGGUCUAUAUCAAGUGGACCACUUUCUAUUUACUCAUGAAAAUGGAAAGAACCAUAUACUGUAUUUCUAAUUUAUUUUGUUUUGUCAUUUGCCAGUGUGAAGACAAUUAGAACUUGCUAUCCUCAGACCCCAAACGGCACUGGUCCAGCUACUAACAGAUCUGCAAAGCUAGAUAUGCUUUUUGCCAACAAAGUAAUUACCUUCUCUGUUCGUACUUUAAUAUCAUGUUAUCGGGAAAUGAACUCUAGUAGUUACUGUAAAUAAAUGUCUCAUAGGGUCCAUUGAAUUGGAAAUAGAUAUGCUUUUUGCCAACAAAGCUGUCAUGUGCGGCAUUCCCUAUACCAGAAGAAGGCGCGCCCGCGACGUACGCAGGGCGGCCGAGCGAGCCGCGACCAAAGGCCAGGAGGCCGUGGCGCGCACCCAGACGCAGGCGAGGGAGGCCCAACCGACUAGUGGCUAAGAUUAGGAAACAAAUUAGAUUUAUUCCUUUUAUUUAGGAGUGAUUUCCUCCAUGCGGUUAGCAGCUUGGACUAUUUAUUCUUGUAAUCAGCAUUGGUUGAAUUAAGCAAGAACAAUUAUCUCCUUCUCCCUCGUUCUCAAGCCCAGGCAACCGUGAGGGACAUAACCUCCGCUACUCUAAGACACGGUAGGAGACUACGAACUCCGUAGUCGAGGGCCGCCUAUCCUAGAUCGCUACGCCCUUGACAACUUGGUAUCUCAGUCACGCCGAUCCUCUUCCAGCCGCUCCGCCCAAAACUCUAACCCACCGCUGCCAACCACCGCGCCCGCACCCUAGCCGUCAGCCAUGAGCGAACCCACCCUUGCCGAUCUCCUGGAAUCCUUGAAAACAGUCACCACGGAGAUGACAGCCGUCAAGGUCGACCUGGCGGCCUUGAAGGAGAGGCCGGUCUCGUCGGCGGACAGCGACGAUUGCCGUUCGGAAGCAACGCGCGACCUGGACCUCCCCCCACAACCCAAGAAGUGGGACUUUCCCCGCUUACCGACCCACUGCUCUUCCUCAACAAGUUCGAAUCCUACUUUCGUCACCAUCGUACCAUGGCCGAGGAGCGCGUGGGGAUGGCGUCCUACCACCUGAACGACGUCGCGCAACUCUGGUACACCCAACUGCUGGAGGCCUCGGGCGCGCCAACGUGGGGGUGAUUCAAGGAGCUCCUGAACCUGUGGUUUGGGCCACCCCUCCGCUCAGCCCCGCUGUUCGAGCUCGCCGAAUGCCGGCGCACCAGGACCGUGGAAGAGUACGCAAAUCGUUUCUAGGCUCUCUUGCCUCGCGCGGGGCGCCUUGACGAGGCCCAGCGGGUCCAACUCUUAACCGCCGGACUCCUGCCACCCCUCAGCCACGCCGUCCGCAUCCACAACCCGGAGACGCUCGCGGCCGCCGAGUUUGGCGCGCCAAGUGGAACUGAUGGAGAGCGACCGGCCGGUGCAGCAACCACCGCGACUGCCCCCUCGCGGCCCCCUUCCACCCCCUGCGCCUCGGGCCGUCCUGCCGGCGCCUGCGCCCCUCCUGGCGCUCCCUGCCCCUCCAGUGGCCACCCAACAGGGCCGUGGCGAGGGCAACCCGCGGCGUCUCACCCCGGACGAGAUGGCCAAACGACGCUGCCAAGGUUUAUGCUUCAAUUGCAACAAAAAGUUCACCUGGGGCCACAACAGGUUUUGUCGACGCCUCUUCUUCCUCGACGGUGUGGAAAUUGAUGACGUCGAGGGCGACAGCGCCGCUGCGCGGCUGAUUCAGGUGCGCAGGAGGUGCCCGUGUUCAACAUACGGGCUGUAGCAGGGACGCCCACCACCGAGGCGUCACCAUGUUUCUCCCUCUCCGCUCUCGCGGGGGUACGCUUCACCGACACCCUCCAGAUCGGCGUCACCAUCGGCAGCGCCGUCUUCUCUGCGCUCCUGGACUCAGGCUCCUCACACAGCUUCAUCUCGAAGACUGCCGCGCGCCGCACCGGGCUGCCCAUCUCCGCCCAGCCACGCAUGACGGCGACGGUGGCUACCGGUGAGCAAGUCGCCUGCCCGGGCGUUCUGCGCCGUGCCCCGUUCUCCGUCUAGGGCGACGUCUUCAGCACCGACCUGUUCGUCAUGGUGCUGGCAGGGUACGAUGUUGUUCUGGGCGUGCAGUGGCUUGGCACGCUGGGUCCGGUGACGUGGGACUUCAAGCGCUGUACCAUGUCCUUCACUCAGUAGGGCCGCACGAUCUGCUGGCCGUGCGUCCAGGGCGUCGCGACGGCGGCCAUCUGCUCCACCACGGCCUCCGCAUCCCUCCUCGACGAGCUGCUGCACUCCUUUGACUCCGUCUUCGCCGAGCCUCAGGGGUGGCCUCCAUCGCGCUCUAGCCCAGCGCCUAGCCCGUCGCCGUGCGUCCGUACCGCUACCCCGCGACACACAAGGACGAGUUGGAACGCCAGUGCGCCACGAUGCUCACCCAGGGGUUGAUCCGCCGGAGUUCCUCGGCGUUCUCUUCGCCCGUCCUCGUCAAGAAGGCCGACAACUCCUAGCGCUUCUACGUCGACUACCGUGCCUUGAACGCCUUCACCGUUAAGGACGCGUUUCCCAUUCUAGUGGUCGACGAACUGCUCGAUGAACUCCACGGCGCCAAAUUCUUCACCAAGCUGGACUUACGCUCAGGCUACCACCAAGUCUGCAUGCGCCCGACCGAUAUUGAGAAGACGGCGUUCCGCACCCACGACGGCCUAUAUGAGUUCUUGGUGAUGCCGUUUGGGCUUUGCAACGCCCCGACAACAUUUCAAGCGCUCAUGAACGACAUCUUGCGCCACUUCCUUCGCCGGUUUGUGCUUGUAUUUUUCGAUGACAUUAAUCUAGAGCUCGUCGUGGGCUGACCACCUUCGCCAUCUUCGAGCCGUCCUCAGCGUGCUGCAGCAGCACCACUUGUUCGUCAAGCGCUCGAAGUGUGCCUUCGGGGAGUCCUCCAUCGCCUACCUCGGCCAUGUUAUUUCCGACACCGGUGUCUCCAUGGAUCCCGCCAAGGUCCAGGCGGUCCGGGACUGGCCGUAGCCGCGUUCUGCCCGGGCGGUCCGGGGAUUCUUGGGCUUGGCGGGCUACUACCGCAAGUUUGUGCACGACCACGGCACCAUCGUCGCCCUGCUGACGGCCCUACUGAAGGAGGGUUUCACCUGGACUGCGGACGCCACGGCAGCGUUCCACGCCCUCAAGACCGUCGUCACCUCGGCUCUAGUCUUGGCGCUGCUCGACUUCACCAAGCCCUUCGUGGUGGAGUGUGACGCCUCGAUGCAUGGCUUCGGCGCGGUGUUGCUGCAGGACAAGCACCCCAUCGCCUACUUCAGCCGCUUCGUCGUACCUCGACAUCGGUCCCUCGCCGCUUACGAGCGGGAAUUGAUCGGCCUCGUCCACGCCACCAGGCACUGGCGGCCAUACCUCUGGGGCUGGCGCUUCACCGUCAGGACGGACCACUAUAGCCUGAAGUUCCUCCUCGACCAGCGACUCGCAACGAUUCCGCGGCACCAUUGGGUUGGGAAGCUCCUUGGCUUUGACUUUGUCGUCGAGUACAAACCGAGAGCCCAGAACGUCGUCGCCGAUGCACUCUCCUGGCGCGACACCGUCGACAGCUUGGUACUUGCGCCUGCGUUUCAACUACAUCGCGCGGCUGCGCCAAGCACACGCCACCGACCCCGCCCUCGUCGCCAUCUGGGAAGAUCUCACGGCGGGCACCCGCUCCGCGCCCUGGGCCUUGGUCGACGGCUGGUCACCUUCGACAACAGGCUCUACGUCUCGCCUGCCUCGCCUCUUCUACAGGAGAUUCUGGCCGCGGUACACGGCGACAGUCAUGAGGGCGUCCAAUGCACCCUUCACCGCCUUCGUUGUGACUUCCACUUCCCCAACAUGCGCUGCGUCGUCCAGGAUUACGUCCGCUCCUGCGCAGUCUGCCAACGCUUCAAACGGAGCAUCUGCACCCGGCCGGCCUCCUCCUACCACUGCUCGUUCCGACUGGGGUGUGGACGGACAUCGACCUCGAGUUUAUCGAGGCUCUACCACGCGUGAAGGGGAAGUCCGUCAUAGUGACAGUGGUGGAUCGCUUUAGCAAGUAUUGUCAUUUUAUUCCUUUGGCUCACCCGUACUUUGCUGAGACUGUGGCACAGGUGUUCUUCACUGACAUCGUGCGCCUCCAUGGGAUGCCCCAAUCCAUGGUCUCCGAUCGCGAUCCUGUGUUCACGUCCACGUUUUGGAAGGAAUUGAUGUGUCUCAUGCGCACCAAGCUACAUAUGACCAUUGCGUUUCACCCGCAAUCGGAUGGCCAAACCGAGGCAGCCAACCGCAUCAUCGCCAUGUACUUGCGCUGCUUCACCGGCGAUUGUCCGCGGGAUUGGCUCCGGUGGCUGCCAUGGGCGGAGUUUACAUACAACACCGCCUAUUAGUCUUCCCUGCGCGAGACGCCCUUCCGAGUGGUCUAUGGACGUGAUCCCCCAACCAUCCGGUCCUAUGGGGCUGGUGACACUAGGGUGGCUGCCGUCGCCACAACAAUGGCUGAGCGCGAGGCGUUCCUCGACGACGUCCGCUUUCGCCUGGAACAAGCUCAGGCGGUACAGAAGCACCACUACGAUAAAGCUCAUCGCCAUGUCUCCUAUGCUGUGGGGGAUUGGGUUCUGCUUCGCCUACGUCAACGACCCAUGAUGUCCAUGUCCGUUGCCGCGAAGGGAAAGCUGCAGCCCUGUUUCUUCGGGCCUUACCGCAUCAUCGAGCUCGUCAAUGAGGUGGCUGUCCGCCUCGAGUUGCCUCCCCGCGCCAAACUACAUGAUGUCUUCCACGUCGGUCUUCUCAAGAAGUGGGUCGGCAACCCUCCGGCAGCUCCGCCGCCGCUAUCGGCGAUACAACAUGGGGCCAUCAUCCCUGAGCCGGAAAGGCAAUCCCUGAGCCGGAAACAGUGCACCCGGCUGGCCCAUGGCAUUCAGCAGGUUCUUAUUCGCUGGAAAGGCAAACCAGCAGCAUAACUAGUCAAAAAAAAACCAGCAGCAUCGGCGACAUGGGAAGACCUUGAAGCGUUCUCUGCCAAGUACCCGUCCUUCCAGCUCGAGGACGAGCUGGUUGUCGAGGCGGGGAGGGAUGUCAUGUGCGGCAUUCCCUAUACCAGAAGAAGGCACGCCCGCGACGUACGCAGGGCGGCCGAGCGAGCCGCGACCAGAGGCCAGGAGGCUGUGGCGCGCACCCAGACGCAGGCGAGGGAGGCCCAACCGACUAGUGGCUAAGAUUAGGAAACAAAUUAGAUUUAUUCCUUUUAUUUAGGAGUGAUUUCCUCCAUGAGGUUAGCAGCUUGGACUAUUUAUUCUUGUAAUCAGCAUUGGUUGAAUUAAGCAAGAACAAUUAUCUCCUUCUCCCUCGUUCUCUAGCCCAGGCAGCCGUGAGGGGCAUAACCUCCACUACUGGAAGACACGGCAGGAGACUACGAACUCCGUAAUCGAGGGCCGCCUAUCCUAGAUCGCUACGCCCUUGACAAAAGCAAUCGUUAUUCCUGAUUUUGAUACUUAAAUAUCAAACUGCAAUAUGAAAACUGUUUUGUACUGCUUUUGGUAGGGUCUGUUGAAUCUUCCCUGAACCCUGCACCCUAGGGAAGCAAAAAAGAAUAGAACAUUGUUCAAGUAGUAACACGUCUAACUGUCUAUUCAGGCAUAUUGGUUAAUGCAAUUUUAGAAAGCCUACUUGCUCCUCAACAUCUUGUCCUUGCUGUUGGAAUAUAAGUGAAUUGCCCACCUCUCCCCAUCAGCUUAAACUUUUGAGUUGAAUUGGUUGGUGCAUGCAACUCAAUAUGAUAUCAAAGCUAGAGGUCUCGAGUUUGAAUCCUGGAUAGCACAAUUAAAUAAAUAAUUGCUGCUCGCUCCUAUUCCACGUCUGAGGCCUGAGGGAGCCUGCACGUGAGGGGGAGUGUUGGAAUAUAAGUGAAUUGCCCACCUCUCCCCAUCAGCUUAAGCUUUUGGGUUGAACUGGUUGGUGCAUGCAACUCAAUACUUGCAUUGGAGACAUCAUAUAAUGGAUUUGCGGGUCUAAUGCUCAUAACUGUAUCUGCAUCCCAGGAGGGCGGUGACAACCCUAGGGCAACUGCCACUGGCCUUCAGGCUGUCAUGAGUCAUUGUAUUUAUAGGAAGUUUUACCUUUUGUUAGUUAGAAAAAAUCAUAUAGUUUAUAAGAUCCCAUGUUUAUAUGAAUAGAGAUAUGAAUCAUGAUUAAUCAAGCAAGAUGUUAAGGGUCAAGCCCACUUCUGAUGUUAGCCGUCACUACAAGGCUCUUGAGCCGCCUCUCUGCCCUGCUGCACCACCUUCAUGGCCGC